rnacentral:rRNA from 1 species
GACGAACGCCGGCGGCGUGCCUAAUACAUGCAAGUCGAACGCACUCUCGUUUAGAUUGAAGGAGCUUGCUCCUGAUUGAUAAACAUUUGAGUGAGUGGCGGACGGGUGAGUAACACGUGGGUAACCUGCCCUAAAGUGGGGGAUAACAUUUGGAAACAGAUGCUAAUACCGCAUAAACCCAACACCGCAUGGUGUAGGGUUGAAAGAUGGUUUCGGCUAUCACUUUAGGAUGGACCCGCGGUGCAUUAGUUAGUUGGUGAGGUAAAGGCUCACCAAGACCGUGAUGCAUAGCCGACCUGAGAGGGUAAUCGGCCACACUGGGACUGAGACACGGCCCAGACUCCCUACGGGAGGCAGCAGUAGGGAAUCUUCCACAAUGGACGAAAGUCUGAUGGAGCAACGCCGCGUGAGUGAAGAAGGUUUCGGAUCGUAAACUCUGUUGUUGGAGAAGAAUGUAUCUGAUAGUAACUGAUCAGGUAGUGACGGUAUCCAACCAGAAAGCCACGG